UACGAAGGGGGCGAGCGUUGUUCGGAUUUACUGGGCGUAAAGGGCGCGCAGGCGGCUACAUUUGUCAGGCGUGAAAGCCCUGGGCUCAACCUGGGAAUGGCAUUGGAAACUGGCGACCUAGAGUGCGGUAGAGGGUAGUGGAAUUCCCGGUGUAGCAGUGAAAUGUGUAGAGAUCGGGAGGAACAUCCGUGGCGAAGGCGACUACCUGGACCAGCACUGACACUGAGGCACGAAAGCGUGGGGAGCAAACAGG
rnacentral:rRNA from 1 species